ACACACACAGACCCUUAUCAGUUCUCCGUCCAACGGUUAGCAUAAGAAGGCUGGCUGGAAAAGUGAUAAGGGCACGUGAGUGG